CCUCAGGGGUACCCCUACCAAGGAUACCCACAGUAUGGCUGGCAGGGUGGACCCCAGGAGCCUCCUAAAACCACAGCUGCCAGUCCUGAGUGGGAUCGGCUGCCACCGAGCGCUUCUGGUCAGAUGCCAGGCUCACCACCCUGUGGACCCCUGCUGCCCGGCCCUGACUGCCCCUUAUCUAAAUGAUUCUUCUUUGUUAGGACGCAGCACUGCAAGCUGCCCACAGC